CCGGCCACUCCAGCCAUCGACGGAGCUGCUUGCCCCGAUCCCUCCACCCGCCCGCCUUCUUCCCGGCAACCCAGCCCCACCCUAGGCGCGGCGAUGGGUGCUAGGGCGUGGGAAAAGGCGGCGGCGCUCGCGAGGGCGGAUGCCGGCGGUGACAUCGUCCACCAGGACGUCGACGCGCCCAAAUCCUCAGCUACUCGAACGACUUCAUGCUCGUAUUCUCCGUCUCUCCAGCCGCUAGACACACGAAGAAGUCCGCGACUCUGGCGGCGGUUACCCACGACCAAUGAGAAGGAAGCUGCGGCAGUUCUAGGGACAAGAAGAUGACAACAGCCCCCCGACGGCCUCCUGCAAGCACAUCGAGGUUCAUGCCGUCGUCUGCUGCAGUUCUCUAUUUUGUGUUUUUUCUGAAGAUAAAUGGAAGUGCAAAUGCAGUCCGCUAGUGAUUUGCUCUUGAGGUUCAUUUUACUUAUGUUUGCAGGAAAAAAGGGUGGUGUGGUUCGGUUGGAUGCCCCGUUACUAAAAAAUCUUGUUGAAAAACUGCAGUUUUCUAUAAAGAUAUAUGUUUGAGUGUACGCCCCUUUGCUCUCACCUCUGCUGUUCAUAGUUCUAUGAUAUUCUAUGAGUACUUGUCAAUGUAUGUCUAGGUGCAAGUGGGCUGAUGUGCUACCCAUUUCCUUUAACAAUGAGAUUUCACUAGAAGUUCAUUCACUUUAUGCAAAUAUCACUUAACUAGAUGGGUUGGUGCACCGCUCAACAGCCCAUACUUGCAUCCAUAAUUAGAUAUAAAAUAUACUGAAGAGAAGUACAUAUAUAGCCAUGAUUGUGUGAUAAAUUGUUUGUCAGGAUAUAACUGAACUUGAUUAAUCCUAUAUUGUAGACAAUGUCCGAAUUUACCAAGGUGUUAGCUUUCUUAUUCAGGAAGAGGUUGUCAAGAAGACAAAAUCAGUUGUGAAGCUCAAACAAGAAGCUGAGAAUUGCCUAUAAUAGAGUGAAAGAUUUAACAACGAGAAGGCUGAGUUUGAGCAAGCUUCCUUCACAAAAGGGGACAGAGGUGCAGCGAGAUCCUGGAGAGGCCGCGCCGAUGCAUCUUCUAAAGGGUGACUCGAAACCAGCAGAGGGACAGGGAUCAUGCGAAAACGCUGAUUCAGUGAAAAUCUGGAAACUCUACUCGUGGGCCAUCGAAUCAAUAAGGAGCGCACAGAUGAGAGGGUGGGCUUGCUAAUCACCUGUUGUACUUCUACACGGGGCUGACUGUAUUCAUGGAAAAUUUGUUGGCAACAAGUAUGGUGAUUCAUGGAAAGUAAAAUGGUUAUUUUCUCUAAUCUAAACAUGUGAUAAAAACAUGGCAAUUUAUGAAACUUUUAUUUGUACUAAUCGUUUGUUUGUAGUUGAACGGUUUAUCAUACUG